CGCGACGUAGUUGACUCCUGGCUCGAGGACGACGCUGGCGGCGUGCCUAACACAUGCAAGUCGAGCGGAGUUUUUAAGAUGAGACCUUCGGGUGGAUUUUUAAGAAACUUAGCGGCGGACGGGUGAGUAACGCGUGGACAAUCUGCCUCUUACAGGGGGAUAACACAGGGAAACCUGUGCUAAUACCGCAUAAAACUGCACCGUGGCAUCACGGAGUAGCCAAAGGAGCAAUCCGGUAAGAGAGGAGCCCGCGUCUGAUUAGCUAGUUGGUGAGGUAACGGCCCACCAAGGCGACGAUCAGUAGCCGAACUGAGAGGUUGAUCGGCCACAUUGGGACUGAGACACGGCCCAGACUCCUACGGGAGGCAGCAGUGGGGAAUAUUGCGCAAUGGGGGAAACCCUGACCGAGCAAUGCCGCGUGAGUGAAGAAGGCCUUCGGGUUGUAAAGCUCUUUUGGAUGGGAAGAUGAUGACGGUACCAUCAGAAUAAGCACCGGCAAACUUCGUG
rnacentral:rRNA from 1 species